rnacentral:rRNA from 1 species
GUGGGGAAUUUUGGACAAUGGGGGCAACCCUGAUCCAGCAAUGCCGCGUGCAGGAAGAAGGCCUUCGGGUUGUAAACUGCUUUUGUACGGAACGAAACGGUCCUGGUUAAUACCUGGGGCUAAUGACGGUACCGUAAGAAUAAGCACCGGCUAACUACGUGCCAGCAGCCGCGGUAAUACGUAGGGUGCAAGCGUUAAUCGGAAUUACUGGGCGUAAAGCGUGCGCAGGCGGUUUUGUAAGACAGGCGUGAAAUCCCCGGGCUCAACCUGGGAAUGGCGCUUGUGACUGCAAAGCUGGAGUGCGGCAGAGGGGGAUGGAAUUCCGCGUGUAGCAGUGAAAUGCGUAGAUAUGCGGAGGAACACCGAUGGCGAAGGCAAUCCCCUGGGCCUGCACUGACGCUCAUGCACGAAAGCGUGGGGAGCAAACAGGAUUAGAAACCCGAGUAGUCC